UCUUCUCAAGUAUAAGGGCAACGAAGAGCUGCUCUUCCGGAACCUAGCCAAAAAGUACAACCUUGAUCCUACCAUAUUUGGAUUAUCUCCAACCCCGCCGGCUUCAGCUGCCCCCUUUGGUCAGCCAAGUGCAAGUG
rnacentral:sRNA from 1 species